GGUGUUGCGCACAACCAGCGACUGCUCCAGCUCCUGCCUGCGCUGCUGGAUCUUUAGAGGAAGUGAGAACAGGAGCAGGUGUCAGUGUUCUGUACUCCCUGAGUCUCCCUCUUCACCUUGAGGUCCCGGCUCUGGGAGCGGAGCAGGUCUUGGACAUAGCCUUUGGGGUCUCUGGAGAAGCUUAGCAUGAAGUCCCUCUGGAUCUUGAGCUGGUUUAUGGACUCAAUCGUCUCAUGGAUCUGCAGACUGCUCAUCUGCAACCACACCCUGGUCUCAGAAAAGUCUCCUCUAUCAUCUCUGGGUUAAUGUCCCACUCCAGCUCUGGGCUUGGGCCCCACCUUACUGUCCAGAGCACUGAUCUCCUGCUGGUUGGCCGUGGAUAGGAGGAAGCUGCUCAUCUGCCCCUUUAAUGGCUCCUCCACCUCCACGUCAAUGUCAUAGCACGCCG
rnacentral:lncRNA from 1 species